GCGGACUUGGCGGAAUUGGUAGACGCCUCAGUUUUAGGUACUGAUAUCUACGGGUGUGAGAGUUCGAGUCUCUCUGUCCGCACCA
rnacentral:tRNA from 1 species